UACGUAGGGUGCGAGCGCUGUCCGGAAUUAUUGGGCGUAAAGCGCGCGCAGGCGGUCCUUUAAGUCUGAUGUGAAAUCUUGCGGCUUAACCGCAAGCGGUCAUUGGAAACUGGGGGACUUGAGUACAGAAGAGGAGAGCGGAAUUCCAUGUGUAGCGGUGAAAUGCGUAGAGAUGUGGAGGAACACCAGUGGCGAAGGCGGCUCUCUGGUCUGCAACUGACGCUGAGGUGCGAAAGCGUGGGGAUCAAACAGG
rnacentral:misc_RNA from 1 species